rnacentral:rRNA from 1 species
CCUACGGGAGGCAGCAGUGGGGAAUAUUGCACAAUGGGGGAAACCCUGAUGCAGCGACGCCGCGUGAGUGAAGGAGCACCUCGGUGCGUAAAGCCCUAUCGGCAGUGAAGAAACAGACGGUACGUUACUAAGAAACCCACGCUAACUACGUUCCAGCAGCCGCGGGAAUACGUAGGGGGCAAGCGUUUUCCGGAUUGACUGGGUGUAAAGGGGGCGUAGACGGCGACGCAAGUCUGGAGUGAAAGCCCGGGGCCUAACCCCGGGACUGCUCUGGAAACUGCGGUGCUGGAGUACAGGAGGGGUAGGCGGAAGUCCUGGUGUAGCGGUGAAAUGCGUAGAUAUGAGGAGGAACACCGGUGGCGAAGGCGGCCUGCUGGACCGUGACUGACGUUGAGGCUCGAGAGCGUGGGGAGCAAACAGGAUUAGAUACCCUUGUAGUC